rnacentral:rRNA from 1 species
AUUAGACGAAUCAUCUGGAAAGAUGAAUCAAAGAAGGUAAUAAUCCUGUAGUCGAAAAUGUUGUCUCUCUUGAGUGGAUCCUGAGUACGACGGAGCACGUGAAAUUCCGUCGGAAUCUGGGAGGACCAUCUCCUAAGGCUAAAUACUCUCUAGUGACCGAUAGUGAACCAGUACCGUGAGGGAAAGGUGAAAAGCACCCCGGAAGGGGAGUGAAAUAGAACCUGAAACCGUGUGCUUACAAGUAGUCAGAGCCCGUUAAUGGGUGAUGGCGUGCCUUUUGUAGAAUGAACCGGCGAGUUACGAUUUGAUGCAAGGUUAAGCAGUAAAUGUGGAGCCGUAGCGAAAGCGAGUCUGAAUAGGGCGUUUAGUAUUUGGUCGUAGACCCGAAACCAGGUGAUCUACCCUUGGUCAGGUUGAAGUUCAGGUAACACUGAAUGGAGGACCGAACCGACUUACGUUGAAAAGUGAGCGGAUGAACUGAGGGUAGCGGAGAAAUUCCAAUCGAACCUGGAGAUAGCUGGUUCUCUCCGAAAUAGCUUUAGGGCUAGCCUCAAGUGAUGAUUAUUGGAGGUAGAGCACUGUUUGGACGAGGGGCCCCUCUCGGGUUACCGAAUUCAGACAAACUCCGAAUGCCAAUUAAUUUAACUUGGGAGUCAGAACAUGGGUGAUAAGGUCCGUGUUCGAAAGGGAAACAGCCCAGACCACCAGCUAAGGUCCCAAAAUAUAUGUUAAGUGGAAAAGGAUGUGGCGUUGCCCAGACAACUAGGAUGUUGGCUUAGAAGCAGCCAUCAUUUAAAGAGUGCGUAAUAGCUCACUAGUCGAGUGACACUGCGCCGAAAAUGUACCGGGGCUAAACAUAUUACCGAAGCUGUGGAUUGUCCUUUGGACAAUGGUAGGAGAGCGUUCUAAGGGCGUUGAAGCAUGAUCGUAAGGACAUGUGGAGCGCUUAGAAGUGAGAAUGCCGGUGUGAGUAGCGAAAGACGGGUGAGAAUCCCGUCCACCGAUUGACUAAGGUUUCCAGAGGAAGGCUCGUCCGCUCUGGGUUAGUCGGGUCCUAAGCUGAGGCCGACAGGCGUAGGCGAUGGAUAACAGGUUGAUAUUCCUGUACCACCUAUAAUCGUUUUAAUCGAUGGGGGGACGCAGUAGGAUAGGCGAAGCGUGCGAUUGGAUUGCAC